rnacentral:rRNA from 1 species
UUCCUACGGGACGCAGCAGUGAGGAAUAUUGGUCAAUGGCCGAGAGGCUGAACCAGCCAAGUCGCGUGAGGGAUGACGGCCCUACGGGUUGUAAACCUCUUUUGUCGGGGAGCAAAGAGAGUCACGUGUGGCUCAUUGAGAGUACCCGAAGAAAAAGCAUCGGCUAACUCCGUGCCAGCAGCCGCGGUAAUACGGGGGAUGCGAGCGUUAUCCGGAUUUAUUGGGUUUAAAGGGUGCGCAGGCGGGAGUUCAAGUCAGCGGUAAAAUGUCGGGGCUCAACCCCCGCCGUCCGUUGUAA